rnacentral:lncRNA from 1 species
CACAAUAAUAUAAACAAAGAUUAAACUGCUAAACUAACUUAGACUUGUCAUAUAUUGCUGCUCUCUGGUGAUUUUAAGUGCUUCUUUUAUUCUUAUUAAGUUGCUUUGGAUAAAAAUAAUGUCUGCUAAAUGAAUAAAUGGGAAUAUAAAAUAAACCUGAAAAAGCCUACAUGAAAAUUCUUUCACUGAGCCAUAUUUUCACAGAGCUUUCGCGAUGAGGGUUCAACUGACUUCACUUCACACUUAUGUUUAACAGCUUCAUACAGUAUAUCCUCACAUCAGCAAACCCACAGAGAAAAGGCAGUUGUCGGAGUGCACUGAUACUUUAAAAUACAAAUAACAGAAAAUAACAAUUGCCAAGCAAUGUAUCUCACCAUUAUCAUUGGAUCCUUCAUGAUUCUCUUAGCUGCUGCUGCUGAGAGACAAUUUGAGAUGAAACAAGCCGUCACCAUUCAGGACAACAAGAAAGAUGUGUGCAAUCCUUCCAAGGAUGCCAUAAAAUGCUGUAUAUGUUUGGAAGCCAUAAACCAAUAUUUACCCCAGAUAAUUGCUCAGGUUAACCAGAAAAUCAGAGCUGCAUGCAAUGUCAACAGGUUUCUGAGGAAACUAUGUUUAAAGAUCGCCACAAAGAUAAAAAUGAAAGUUUUAAGAAAAUUUUUCCCAAGAGGUCCUCUACAAUUCUGCAAGAGGUAUAAAAUGUGCAAGUAAAAGACAACUGUAAACAGUCCAUUAAAACAUCAACUCUUUAAGUAGGAUUGUUUACUUGUUUGUUUUGGUAAAAGCAUGAGAUGAAAAUGCCUCCCCUGGUUUCUGUAAACUUCAUUAUACACUGGACAAAUCCUUAGAUCAGAAAAUGCAUUCAGUCAAAAAUGCUUUUAAAAUGUUCUGAAAGAUGUAUGUUUAUCAUGUUUUGGAAGAUUUUGUUUUUGUUGUUUCUCAUUUACUGCUCAUUAAAAAUCUAAUCAUUUUUAUGUGAAGACAUUUGUUUCUGUCAAUAAAGUUGUCAUAUCUCCCUUAAAAAUAAAAACUCUGCCAUAAUGUACUC